rnacentral:rRNA from 1 species
AUUGAACGCUGGCGGCAUGCCUUACACAUGCAAGUCGAACGGCAGCACGGGAGCAAUCCUGGUGGCGAGUGGCGAACGGGUGAGUAAAGUAUCGGAACGUGCCCAGUCGUGGGGGAUAACGUAGCGAAAGUUACGCUAAUACCGCAUACGAUCUAUGGAUGAAAGCGGGGGAUCGCAAGACCUCGCGCGAUUGGAGCGGCCGAUAUCAGAUUAGGUAGUUGGUGGGGUAAAGGCUCACCAAGCCGACGAUCUGUAGCUGGUGUGAGAGGACGACCAGCCACACUGGGACUGAGAGACGGCCCAGACUCCUACGGGAGGCAGCAGUGGGGAAUUUUGGACAAUGGGCGCAAGCCUGAUCCAGCCAUGCCGCGUGCAGGAUGAAGGCCUUCGGGUUGUAAACUGCUUUUGUACGGAACGAAAAGGUUUGGCUUAAUACGUUGAACUCAUGACGGUACCGUAAGAAUAAGCACCGGCUAACUACGUGCCAGCCGCCGCCGUAA